rnacentral:rRNA from 1 species
AGAGUUUGAUCAUGGCUCAGAUUGAACGCUGGCGGCAGGCCUAACACAUGCAAGUCGAGCGGCAGCGGGAAAGUAGCUUGCUACUUUUGCCGGCGAGCGGCGGACGGGUGAGUAAUGCCUGGGGAUCUGCCCAGUCGAGGGGGAUAACAGUUGGAAACGACUGCUAAUACCGCAUACGCCCUACGGGGGAAAGGAGGGGACCUUCGGGCCUUUCGCGAUUGGAUGAACCCAGGUGGGAUUAGCUAGUUGGUGGGGUAAUGGCUCACCAAGGCGACGAUCCCUAGCUGGUCUGAGAGGAUGAUCAGCCACACUGGAACUGAGACACGGUCCAGACUCCUACGGGAGGCAGCAGUGGGGAAUAUUGCACAAUGGGGGAAACCCUGAUGCAGCCAUGCCGCGUGUGUGAAGAAGGCCUUCGGGUUGUAAAGCACUUUCAGCGAGGAGGAAAGGUGGUUGGCUAAUACCCAAUUGCUGUGACGUUACUCGCAGAAGAAGCACCGGCUAACUCCGUGCCAGCAGCCGCGGUA